GCCGCCUCCCUGACCGCGGGGUCGCCGGCCUGGGCCUUCCGGCUGCCCCUGAGCCGCGGGAUGGGCUUCUUCUCCGACUGCGUCUUCUUGAGGAACAGCGCCAGCGAGGUGGCGGCCUAGGCGCGGGGCGGUCAAACUCUGGGCCGAAGCCCAGGCCUCGGUGGACGCUGAGGACGCUGAAGACCGACAGCUUUGCACGCUGGCGGUUGCGCUGGCGUGGCCUUCAACUGGGGCCGCGGGAAGAGGCGGAACUUGCGGAAGAGGGACAGCUUGGACCUGGCGGGCUCGUCCAUGCCUUGCUGCUCAAAGAAGGCGGCGCUGCGCAGGCGGAAGGAGGUGCCCUGAAGCUCCCCGCCCGCGUCCUCGGGCUCCUCCAGCUCGGCAAUGUCAUCCAUGGGUUGGGCAUACAGGUUGUGGGGCGAUGGGAUGGGCGGUGGUACCCAGGGGUACAGAAGGGUCGAGGCCGACUCUUCCGGGUAAUAGGGCACCUCAGGGGGGUAGAUGGCCUCGUCCCCACCGCCAUAGACACCUUCUGCCUAGGGGACGGUGUAGGGGGUCCCAUAGGGAUUAAAGUAGGAUACGUCGUAGCGAGUGUGGUACGGGAGGUCAUAGGGCGGGCAGGGCGCGUAGGGAUCCAGGUAGUAGCCGUGUGGGUGCGCCUCGCCCUCAUACCAUCGUGGUAGCUGUAAGGAGACUAGUACCCCGAUGGGGGCGCAUACGGGGGUUCGAAAUCGUCGUAGUCAUAGCUGUAGCCAUAGGUGUGCCCGGAUCAAAGGGGCCACCGUAAUAGUCCGGGUGGUAGUAGUCAUAGGGGUCCUCGGGCGGGUACCGACAGUAGUGGUCACCGUAGGGUGGCCAGGCCGGGCUGUAGGGGCCGAGGCCCGCCACGUAGGGCUCCUGCUCCUCGUAGCGGUGGAGCGACUGCAGGUCGUAGCAGGCGCGGAGGCAGUCAUAAUACUCACCCAGGUCCUGGAAGCCCUCGAGCCCAUACAGCCACUUGCGGGAGCCUGAGUGAUGGAAAGGAGCCUCGUCCUUGAAGGGCAGGAAUCCCAGGGGCUCGCCGAAUCCUAGACGCUGCAGCUGCGGGGAACCUCCGGAGCCGGCCCCUGGGCCUCAGGAUCUCAGCACCCGACGGGAAGGGCAGCUUGCGGGAGCCCACGCGGGAGCCCGAGCUCUGCAGCCAGGUAUCCAUCGAGGCCUGCUCGCUGCCCAACUCCUCGGCCUGCUUGAUGAGGAACUUCUUUGUGAGCCAGUUGAUGGCGGUAGACGCCUUGCUGAGUGACCGGGCGCACGGCUGCAGGCGGCGGUAGCCACUGGCGGCCGGGGAAGCGGAUCACCAUGAAGGACGGCUUCUUGCCCUUCGUUGCCCGCUUCUUCUUGCCCAUGUGCAUCUGCAUCAUGAGUUUCGACGUGGACUAGAGCACGGUGCGGGCCUUCUUGCGCUUGCUCUUCUUGGGGCCGGUGUGGAGGCCCCGAAAAAGGCCGAGACUCUGCGGAACUUGUCCUUCUUGGAGAUCUUGGGUGUGUGAUUGCGGAUGCCCAUGAACAGCCGCGACGUCCCCUUCAGGCUCCGUGUGUGUUUCUCUGGCUCUGGCGCCUUCUUCCCUUUCUUGGCUUUCUUCUCAUCUUCCUCCACCAUGGUGGCUGCCUGCUCCCUGCUGGGCCUGGGGCCAGUGUCGCCGG
rnacentral:lncRNA from 13 species